rnacentral:rRNA from 1 species
ACGGGUGAGUAACACGUAGGCAACCUGCCCUCAAGUUUGGGACAACUACCGGAAACGGUAGCUAAUACCGAAUAGUUGUUUUCUUCGCCUGAAGGAAACUGGAAAGACGGAGCAAUCUGUCACCUGGGGAUGGGCCUGCGGCGCAUUAGCUAGUUGGUGGGGUAACGGCUCACCAAGGCGACGAUGCGUAGCCGACCUGAGAGGGUGAUCGGCCACACUGGGACUGAGACACGGCCCAGACUCCUACGGGAGGCAGCAGUAGGGAAUCUUCCGCAAUGGGCGAAAGCCUGACGGAGCAAUGCCGCGUGAGUGAUGAAGGUUUUCGGAUCGUAAAGCUCUGUUGCCAGGGAAGAACGCUUGGGAGAGUAACUGCUCUCAAGGUGACGGUACCUGAGAAGAAAGCCCCGGCUAACUACGUGCCAGCAGCCGCGGUAAUACGUAGGGGGCAAGCGUUGUCCGGAAUUAUUGGGCGUAAAGCGCGCGCAGGCGGUCAUUUAAGUCUGGUGUUUAAUCCCGGGGCUCAACCCCGGAUCGCACUGGAAACUGGGUGACUUGAGUGCAGAAGAGGAGAGUGGAA